UGUUUAGUGGCUGAAAAUAAGCGUAAGUCUUUUAAACUUAUUAUAGUUAAUCUCUAAACAA
rnacentral:tRNA from 1 species